GCCUUGUGUGAAGGAUAGCUCCGUUGGCAGAGCAUGAGGCUCUUAAUCUCAGGGUCGUGGGUUCAAGCCCUAUCCUGGGCA